rnacentral:rRNA from 1 species
CCUACGGGAGGCAUCAGUGAGGAAUAUUGGACAAUGGGCGCAAGCCUGAUCCAGCCAUGCCGCGUGCAGGAAGACGGUCCUAUGGAUUGUAAACUGCUUUUAUACAGGAAGAAACACCUCUACGUGUAGAGACUUGACGGUACUGUAUGAAUAAGCAUCGGCUAACUCCGUGCCAGCAGCCGCGGUAAUACGGAGGAUGCAAGCGUUAUCCGGAAUCAUUGGGUUUAAAGGGUCCGUAGGCGGUUUAAUAAGUCAGUGGUGAAAGCCCAUCGCUCAACGAUGGAACGGCCAUUGAUACUGUUAAACUUGAAUUAUUAGGAAGUAACUAGAAUAUGUAGUGUAGCGGUGAAAUGCUUAGAGAUUACAUGGAAUACCAAUUGCGAAGGCAGGUUACUACUAAUAUAUUGACGCUGAUGGACGAAAGCGUGGGGAGCGAACAGGAUUAGAUACCCUGGUAGUCCACGCCGUAAACGAUGGAUACUAGCUGUUCGGAGCAAUCUGAGUGGCUAAGCGAAAGUGAUAAGUAUCCCACCUGGGGAGUACGUUCGCAAGAAUGAAACUUAAAGGAAUUGACGG